rnacentral:lncRNA from 1 species
GUGGGGCGAUCUGAUCCACUGGACGUGGUUACUUUUGUCAGUAAUCAGGACGAAAUGUAUUACUUUCUUAAAACGAUAGCACUUCAACAAGGGUGGUGUUGAAGGAUUCUGGGUUACUGCAACACCUCAGGUGGAACAAUGCGGAUAGAGAAUGGAAGGAACUAUGGUCUACGCCAAAAUAUCGGUGUGACCAGUAUGGAGAGUGCGGUGCCAACAGCAAAUGUAGCCCUGACAAUAUCAAUUCGUUUGAGUGUGAGUGUCUGCCAGGGUAUGAACCGAAGUCUGUCAAUGAUUGGAAGAUGAGAGAUGGUUCGGACGGGUGUGUGAGUAAACGACUUGCGGUAUCAAAGUGUAGGAACGGAGAAGGGUUCAUGAAAGUGGCACGAGUUAAAGAUCCAGACACAACCAAAGCAGCACGGCUGAAAAAAGGUAUUAGUAUCAAAGAGUGUGAGCAGAUGUGCUUAAGCAAUUGUUCUUGCACUGCAUAUACGGUCAUAGAAUCUGAAGGGCGCAGUGAUUGCUUGACAUGGUAUGGUGAGUUGCUGGACAUUUUAGUGUACACACAGCUAGGGCGAGAUCUACAUGUACGUGUGGACAAAAUCGAAUUAGGUACCACUUCUUGCCAUGGAAAAGUUGCAUUAUAAAUUUUUGGAAUUUGUGGAACUUACUGUACUACUGGUUUUGUUAUUUUUUAAUCCUUUAUCCCACUCUUAUGUGUAGCAGAAAAUUCAAGAAAUUCGAAAGGUUUUCUUAGAAGCAGGGGUAUGCUGGCUAUUCUGAUGUUGUCUGUUGUUCUAGCAUUGGUACUGAUGGUUGCGUUGACCUGUUGGAGGAUUAGGAAACAGAGGAAGACAAAAGGUAAGAAGUAGUCAGCGAUUUUGAAUUCUCGAACGGUUUCAUCAAAUAAAAGCACUCCACUUGUAAUGCUUGUGCAGUUUGUAAAUCAUAUCAAAGCACUGCCAUUAGAUAGAAUCCAUACGCACAAGCUCGAUGUAAAACUUAUAUUUCUAUAUCGUUUGUCAAUGAAAAUAGAACAGUGAGAAGAAAAUGCAGACAAUGAUUUCUUUUAUUGUUAGCAGUUGAGAUCGAAGAAACUAGGAGACAUCCCGAAUUGCAAUUUUUCCAUCUGAGAACGAUAAUUGCAGCUACGAACAACUUCUCUCCCGUCCAAAAACUUGGCCAAGGUGGUUUUGGCACUGUUUAUAAGGUUAGUCCCACUUUCGAAGAGUUACAAAUUUCAUUAUUAAGGAAUAAUCACAACAUAAUAGCUUCACAAAAUAAGUGAUGAUUAUGUGGAAGCUUAAUGAUAAAACUGAAUGAAAACUUCAGGGUGUGUUACGAAAUAAUCAGAAUAUUGCUGUAAAAAGAUUAUCCAGAGCUACAGGACAAGGAGUUGAAGAAUUCAAAAAUGAAGUUGCAUUGAUAGCGAGACUUCAACACAGGAAUCUUGUGAAACUUUUAGGCUGUUGCAUAAAGGGAGAAGAAAGGAUGUUAGUCCUGGAAUACUUGCCGAACAAAAGCUUGGACUACUUUCUUUUCGGUAUGUCUAUAGAGGAAAGAUUCAUUUGUUCACGCCAUUUCUCAAACUAUGAAGCAUAUCUUAGUCGAAUAUGUUACAUUUAUCUGCACAAUUAAAGCCAAAUAUCUUGAUGCAGACAAAAAAGUCCUUGCUGGAUUGGCAAAAGCGAUUCGAAAUCAUCAACGGGGUUGCUCGUGGGGUUUUGUAUCUUCACCAGGAUUCAAGACUUAGGAUUAUUCAUAGGGAUCUAAAAACCAGCAAUGUCCUUCUAGACGCUGAGAUGAACCCAAAAAUCUCAGAUUUCGGCAUGGCAAGAAUCUUCCAUGGGGACCAACUCCAGGAUACGACCAACAGAGUUGUCGGAACAUAGUAAGAAUCGUUAUAAACUCACCCUCCAUUAGCUCUUUCAUCUCUUACUAUUCUUUGGCUGUAACGUUUUAUUUUCUUUAUAUGCUUAAUACAGUGGCUAUAUGUCACCGGAGUAUGUAGUGUUUGGGAGAUAUUCAACCAAAUCAGAUGUUUUUAGUUUUGGGGUCAUAUUAUUGGAGAUUGCAAGCGGCAAGAAAAACAGCAGUUGUUAUCAAGAGGAUCAUUUCGUAAACUUAAUAGGACAUGUGAGUAACACAAAUUGUGCAAACAACCAACCCUUUUUAUUUACUCAUCCCAUACAUGUUUAAAUGAACUGUCAACUACAGGUUUGGCAGUUGUGGAGUGAAGACAGAGCCUUAGAAAUUGUGGAUUCGUCAUUGGAGUCAUACGCGCUCGACGAAGCCAUGAGAUGCAUUCAGGUCGGGCUCUUGUGUGUCGAAGAAGAGUCGAAGAAUAGACCAUCCAUGUCAGCUGUUGUUUUUAUGUUGAGCGGCGAAGCAUCUGCUCCAUCUCCUCAGCAGCCUGCAUUUGCCUUGAGAAAAAAUUCAUGCGGCGAUGCUGUUGUUCCUUCAGUUUCUGAAGGAUCGUGUUCUAUCAACGACGUGACAAUAACUAAAUUCGAAGGUCGAUAACUAAAUUCUGAUGUCAUCUGUGAUGAAACAUGGUCUUUCGGGAACUGAAUCAUAUACAUUGAAAUGAGACUUUAGUUAUAUAGGCUAUUUCAUACACUUUCAAAUACCUCUUGGAUGUAUCUAAUAAUACAGAACUCUUUCCAACAGUUAUGUCGCCUAAUCAAAACGUAAUAUUAAUUAAAAACUUAGGGGGGUGUAUUCAAUUAGGAUUUUGAGGGAUUUUAAUUCUUUUAAUGAAUCUAAGGGUUCAAUCAUGAAUUUAAGUGAUUCUCUGAAAUUCAAUGUGUAUUCAAUCAAGAUUUUAAGAUAGUUUAUGAAAAUCCUUAGAAAUCCGGGUGUAUUCAAUUAGAAUUUUAAAGAAGUUUAUAACAUUCCAGGUGUAUUCAAUUAGAAUUUGAUUUUAAAGAAUUUGAGAAAGUUGAGGAAUUAGAGGGAAUUGGAGAGAUUUCGUAGUGUAUUUUGAGCAUCCACAAAUCUCACAUCCCCCAAGAGAUUUCGAGGGAAUUGAAUCAAAAUUUUACAUGGAAUCUCUACAAAUCAAUUAAACUCCAUAAAAAUCCAUUAAAAUCUCUCAAAUUCUCAAUUGAAUACACCUUCCUUAAUCCAAAACCUAAAAUCAGUUAAUAUACUAAUUAAAAUUACACCUAUUGGAGACCUUGUGUUCCCCGAUGUGGGAUAAUUGAGGCAUAAAAUUCGAACAGAUUCCAACAGGAUCCUCUUCAGAUUCUUUUAGUGAGGAUUCUGAUGAUUCGUGAAUCGUGUCCAUUUAUCGUACAUCGUACGGUCAAUUUUUGUCAAAUACUGUUUGUGUUUAAUUUUAAAUAAAAAUAUUUAAAAUAAUUUAUAAUUGUACGAUGUACGAUGAACGGAUAAAAUUGACAAUCCUUGGGAUCCUCACAAAAAGUAUCCGGCUAGGAUCCGGAUUCCAACAGAUUAUUCUUUGACGAAACUGAUUUGACUGUCAACAUCCAAAGUCUACUUGGUUUGAGUCGUGCUUGCUAGGUGCCGGGUAAACUCUUCAAACAAGCAGCAAUAAUUCCAACAGAAAAACAUAAACAUCAGCGGUAAUAGUCUCUAGUGUAUACCUUUUAUUCUGCAGGUAUGUUGUUGCACAUGUACAUCGGUCAGGACAACAAAUUUUGCUCACUAUUUUCACUUCGAGAAGUUUAGUGUGUGGGGUGAAAUGAUCGAAUCAUGAGUUGGGGAUAGAACAUGUAAAAUUCUAGUUGUUUUUAUAUACAAUGGUUGUGAAUAUCUUUGUAAAUUGUAAUGUUAUAGAUGCUUGUGGUUGUGGGCUGUUUUAAUUUUAUGAAAAAAUAAUUUUUUGUUUAGCCUCAAUCUUAAUUUGUAGGUGACAACUUUGUCAGAACUGGGCACUAAAGGACAUUUACUUGUGCUUACACUUUUUGGCACAACAUACCUUAUUGUGCUCUUUGAUCAAAGGCUACGCCUAUAGAGGGCACAAAUAGAAAUAUAGUUGAUGCACUGUUGCUAUUGGUCUAUGGACACAAUUGUUGGUGCUCUUUGGCCUCAAAGGACACAUAUAAUUUAUUGUGUGCAGUGCCCAUAUUUUUUGUAGUGUGCAGGUUUGGUAGCUCUGGAGAGAAGACAGAGCAUUAAAAGUUGUGGAUUCAUCGGUAGAGAGUAGAGACCUUUCAGUCGAAUGAGUAAUGCAACGCAUUCAAGUUGGCUUCUUAUGCGUGGAAGAAGAUUUGAAGGACCGACCAACCAUGUCAGCCUUUUUUGUUGAGUGUUGUGAAACAUCUCCUCCAUCUCCUAAACAGCCUGCAUUUGUCUUCAGAAAAAGUUCAUGCGAUGAUGAUGCGGAUCCAUUAAUUCCGAAAGGGUCAGGUUCUAUUAACGACUUAACAAUAAUUGCAUUUGAAGCUCGUUAGUUGUUAAUGAUGCAGGCUAUUUGAAGCUUGUUCCGAAAGGGUCAGAUAAUGCACGUGUUGUUACACCCACCCCAAGUUAUAAAAAUAUAAUUAUGUAAUUAUCCCCUAAAUCUUAUGAAUCUAUCAAUUUAGUCCUAUUUUGACUACCCAAUCAGGAUUAUUCCCAAGCUGCCACGUGGCAGAAACCCAAGACUUCUCUCUUUUCUCUCUCUGUCCCCUGCCACUCCCGUGAACCCCCAUUUUCUUCCUCUUUCUGUCUCUCCCUUCUCUCCCUUUCGGAUCCCUCAUUUCUCUCUCUCUCUUUUCCGAGACACACAUACACACACACACACACACACCCAGUUACCUCAUCUACGAGGAAGACGCCGCCAUCAUCAAUCCCUCGUCCUUCUUUCUCUCUCUUUCCCGUGCUACGAGGAAGAACCCAGAAACGAACUCUGGCGAGAUUUCUAUUCCUCCGGUUAGGUAAGCCUCGAUUUCCCUCUAUUUCGUCCUAAAUUCAUGCGAGAAUGUGUUUUAAUGGGUUGUACCUUGUUAAUUUCGAAGUUUUAGAACAAAACCAGGUCGGGUGAAGGCACACCUAGCUCCGGCGAGGCCGUGGGUGUCGAGGGAAUCUCCGGUCAUCUCCGGCCGUUCUACGGCAAAAGGAAGGUAUAAAGUUGUUCCUCUAGUCUUGUACUUCGAUUUGAUACCUAGAUCGGACCCUAAAAGCUAGGUUUGAGGCCGGCCGGAGCUGUAGAAGCUCUAGCGUUCUUCUCCGUCGACGCCAGCCUUUCAGGCCGUUUCUUAGUCACUCGGGCCUUAGGCCCGUGGUGAGUCUAGCCCAAACCCAUAACUCAGUUUCUUUUUAUUUUAUUUAAUUGUUUUAAUAACCCAAGAGGCCUUCGGGCCGUUAUGUUUAGGGCCUGUAGCCCAUUAGACCAACCCAAAACCUUUUUAGGUUUUUUUUAUUUUUGUUUUACAAAUUAAGGCCCUUGGGCCAUUUUUAUUCAGGGCCUUAGGCCCGAGUGUUUAGAAACCUUUAUAGUUAAGGCCCUUGGGCCAUUUAGAGCUUGGGCUUUCAGCCCUUUCCCAAACCCAUUAACCUCAAUCUAAACCCAAAAUCCUUAGGGCCCAAUCGGCCCAACCCAAUCCAAGCCCAGUCUGACCUUUGACCCAGUUGACCGUUGACUAGGUCAACGGUCAGCAAUGUCCUUCUAGACGCUGAGAUGAACCCGAAAAUCUCAGAUUUCGGCAUGGCAAGAAUCUUCCAUGGGGACCAACUCCAGGAUAUGACCAACAGAGUUGUCGGAACAUAGUAAGAAUCGUUAUAAACUCACCUUCCAUUAGCUCUUUCAUCUCUUACUAUUCUUUGGCUGUAACGUUUUAUUUUCUUUAUAUGCAUAAUACAGUGGCUAUAUGUCACCGGAGUAUGCAGUGUUUGGGAGAUUUUCGACCAAAUCGGAUGUUUUUAGUUUUAGGGUCAUAUUAUUGGAGAUUGUAAGCGGCAAGAAAAACAACAGUUUCUAUCAAGCGGAUCAUUUCCUAAACUUAAUAGGACAUGUGAGCAACACAAAUUGUGCAAACAACCAACCCUUUUUAUUUACUCAUCCCAUACAUGUUUAAAAUGAACUGUCAACUACAGGUUUGGCAGUUGUGGAGUGAAGACAGAGCCUUAGAAAUUGUGGAUUUGUCAUUGGAGUCAUACGCGCCCGACGAAGCCAUGAGAUGCAUCCAGGUUGGGCUCUUGUGUGUUGAAGAAGAGUCGAAGAACAGACAAUCCAUGUCAGCUGUUGUUUUUAUGUUGAGCGGCGAAGAUCUGCUCCAUCUCCUCAGCAACCCGCAUUUGCCUUGAGAAGAAAUUCAUGCGGGAUGCUACAGUUCCAUUACUUUCCAAUGGAUGGUGUUCUAUCAACGACGUGACAAUAACUAAAUUCGAAGGUCGAUAACUAAAUUCCGAUGUCUGUGAUAAAACAUGGUCCUUCGGGAACUGAAUCAUAUACGUUGAAAUGAGACUUCAGUUAUAUAGGCUAUUUCAUACAUUUUCAAAUACCUCUUGGAUGUAUCUAAUAAUACAACUCUGUCCAGCAGUUUGUUUCCUAAUCAAAACAUUUUUGAUAUUAAUUAAAAAUUUAAUCCGAAACUAAAAUUAGUUAAUAUACGAGUUAAAAUCACACCUAUUGGAGAACUUGUGUUCCUGAUGUGGGACAAUUGAGGCAUAAAACUCCAACAGAUUAUUCUUUGACGAUACUGAUUUGACUGUCAACAUCCAAAGUCUCCUUGGUUUGAGUCGUGCUUGCCAGGUGCCGGGUAAACUCUUCAGACAAGCAGCAGAAAUUCCAACAAAAACAUAAACAUCAACGACAAUUCUUCUGUCAAAUUAUAAAAGAGACGGCUAAAGUCUCACUUCUAACAACAUCGAUAUUGUUUUCAAUUUUGUUACCACCUUCACAAUCCGACAUGUGUGAAGUUUAUUACAAAAUGUCACGGUAUUAGUUGGAAUCAAACCAACACGUGACUGUACGGGCCUGCUCGUUGGCUCUGAUACAAUGUCAAAUUAUCAUAGAGAUGAGCCAAAGUCUCACUUCCAACAAUACCAAUAUUGUCCCUAACUUGUUAAUUACCACCAGCAUAGUCAGACUAGUGUGAGAUUUUAUCACAAAAAAACUUCGGUAUUAAUUGGGAUUCUUCAGGCCCGACAACUCCAGUAGUUCCAAGUACGUCUGAAUUUGGUACGCAGACAAACUUGAAAAAAAUAGUUGUUUGGGUGGAGUGGCAAACAGAGACAAUCCCAUCAAUGAGAGAUUUUUCAGUGUAGAGAAAUUUUUAAUUGUGACGAUGGUAUACCUAGGGGUGGGCAAACAGGUCCUGGACCCGUGGGUCGGGACGGGUCCAAAAAUUCGAAACACCAAACGGGGUGGGUCUAUGAAAUUAGAGGGGAGGGGCGGGUCCAAAAAUAAGAAGGAACGAGCCCUCGACGAGGGCCGUUUGUAGCAUAUGAGAUAAUGGAUUUGAUUAGUGUGACACCGUGGGCCUCGACUUACAAGGUUGCCCACCAAAUUGGACCAGAUUUAGGAGGCCCUUAAGGUCUCUGGAACCAUCCUCUCAGAUACGUUGAAAUGAGAUUUCAUCGAGAACUGAAUCAUAUACGUUGAAAUGAUCCAUCGGGAACUGAAUCAUAUACGUUGAAAUGAGAUUUCAGUUAUAUAGGCUAUUUCAUACACUUUCAAAUACCUCUUGGAUGUAUCUAAUAAUACAGAACUCUUUCCAACAGUUAUGUAUCCUAAUCAAAACGUUUUUAAUAUUAAUUAAAAACUUAAUCCGAAAUUAAAAUCAGUUAAUAUACUAAUUAAAAUUACACCUAUCAACAUAUUAUUCUUUGACUAGGUAAGAGAUCCCCUUUGGAUUUAAUCCACUAAAACCAUCGGAUCAAGUGAUCCGAGCCUUCCAAAUUUCAUCUAAUGAUAAAAAGUUAUCAUAGUUUUUAAAGAAUCAAAAUAGGUGAGCCUUUGGAUAAAAUUUAAAAGAACCGAUCACUUGAUCUGGUGGCCUUGGUGGAAAGAGAUCCUCCCUUUGACAAAACUGAUUUGAUUGUCAAGAUCCAAAGUCUCCUUGGUUUGAGUCAUGCUUGCCAGGUGCUGGGUAAACUCUUCAGACAAGCAGCAGAAAUUCCAACAAAAACAUAAACAUCAGCGACAAUUCUUCUGUCAAAUUAUAAAAGAGACGGCUAAAGUCUCACUUCUAACAACACCGGUAUUGUUUUCAAUUUAGUUACCACCUACACAGUCCGACAUGUGUGAAGUUUUAUUACAAAAUGUCACGGUAUUAGUUGGAAUCAAACCAACACGUGACUGUACGGGCUUGCUCGUUGGCUCUGAUACCAUAUCAAAUUAUCAUAGAGAUGAGCCAAAGUCUCACUUCCAACAAUAUCGAUAUUGUCCUCAACUUGUUAAUUACCACCGGCACAGUCAGACCAGUGUGAGAUUUUAUCACAAAAAAACUUCGGUAUUAAUUGGGAUUCUUCAGGCCUGACAACUCCAGUAGAUCCAGGUACGUCGGAAUUUGGUAUGCAAACAAACCUGAAAAAAACAAUUGUUUUGGUGGCGUGGCAAACAGAGACAAUCCCAUCAACAAGAGAUUUUUUAGUGUGGAGAAAUUUUUAAUUGUGACGGGAACACAGGUGAUAUACCUAGGGUGGGCAAACGGGUCCUGGACCCGUGGGUCGGGGCGGGUCCAAAAAUUCGAAACACAAAACGGGGUGGGUUUAUGAAAUUAACGGGGCUGGGUGGGUCCAAAAAUAAGAAGGAACGAGCCCCCGGCCAGGCCCGUAUGUAGCAUAUGGGAUAAUGGAUUUGAUUAGUGUGACGCCGUGUCCCUCGACUUACAAGGUUGCCCACCAAAUAGGACCAAAUUUAGAAGGCCCUUAAGGUCUCUGGAACCAUCCUCUCAGAGCAUUUUUAUUUUUAUAUGAUUUAAUUAAAGGGAAUUUUAAUGAAAAGCCCACGGUACUAUUCACUUUAUUGAAAAAUCACAUUUUUACACUAAAAAGUCAAACAUGCUACUAUUCACUUUACCUUUUAUUUUGUCCUUAUCGUUAAAACUCAAAGUUUUCAAACCCUUUUCAUUAGUUUUCCUUUAAUUAAAUCCCCUCAUCUCAGACUCCUAGACUCCCCCACUUUCUUUCUCCAUUUCUCAACUUUCUUGUUCUUUUCUCCCCCCAACCCUUUAAUCGACCGUCACGACAUCACAUCAGCCACCACACGAGUCACGGUAUCACCUCACCAUCGUUCUUAAACCUAGAAACCUUUCUGAGAGUGACUUAGUUGAUUCGAAUUCGACUACGUCGACAUCUCACAACAACUAGCCACCACGAGAUUACGUGACACGCCCCGAUCCCGAUGUCCUAGGGACAAAGGGAUGGUCACGUGCUGGUCGACACCCGAAGGGUGACGAAAGCCAUUUAUUGAGUACAAAUGCUGACAACAAGGGAUAGAUCAGACUUAUAAAUAUAAGAGAAUAAAGAAUAUGUAUUUAAGGAACGUGUUCAGAGCACACAUCUAAUCUAGAACAUUAAAAGAAUUAAUAUAAAAAUUGAAUGAACACAGAAGUGGGUCCUACACCGAGAGGACUCGAAGAUACCGAUGCGGAAGUGCCUGGAUGCCGGGAUUGUAUGCCUCGAUUCUAAAUCCUGAAGGGGGCGCAAAACAAACAUGAGUGGACCAAGUUGAUAUAUAUAUAAUAAAACAGUUAUCAACGUACUAACCCCCAGGUUUUAUGAAAACACAUAUAUAAUGAUAAACAUAGGUUUUCUGAAACCUAGCAUGAUGUGCAGUAUCUCAAAUCAUAACUCAUAUAUAAUAAUCACUAGUGAAUUGUCCGAUAACCCCCAGGCCCCAUGCCGGCUCCCCGUCUCUGAGCAGACAGUCAGAGGAAAAUACACUUCAGGCCCCAUGCCGGCUCCCCGUCUCUGUGCUAAAUAGCCAGAGGAAACACACUUCAGGCCCUAUGCCAACACCAAACCGUCGCCCGGGACGGACCGGAAUCUAUCCCUACGUCCCGUAGCGGAAAGGACCACUAGGUAAGUACAAACCAUUGAACAUAUAUAUAUUGAAAAACAACUUCAUAGUAUAAAGUCAUCCAUCAUCUAUACUAUAAAGAGGUGAUCGAAACAUGUUCUAAAUAUCAUAUCGUCAUCCAUCGGAUAUUCUAUAAGAACAUGGGUUAUAGGAAAAAUAGUAAUAAUUCAAACUAGCCUUAGUAAGCAUGUUAUCUCACAAAACGUUUCAUAAAACGUAAUCAUCAAAUCAUGCUUUUUAUGUAUGCAUUUCUACUAUAAAACAUGCAUUUUAGAAGGGGUCCACUCACAGUACUUAGCCGUCGAAGAGCCACGCAAACUAGCAACCACGAAAACGUCACCAAUAUUGCCCCUAAGCACAUAAAGGGUCCAAUUAAUAAAACUCUAUUAUAACAAUUGAAUUUGGGAAAACGAACAUUGGAAACGGAUUCAGAACGUCGAGUUACCCUAAGAAGGGUCCCGGACGAAAACCCGAAAAGUCCACCCUAAAGUCAACGUUGACCGGAGGUCAACAGUCAAAUUAGGUCAAACGGGUUUUAGGCUUGACAUCUGGAUUAGGGUUUAGGUUUAGGUUAACUAGGAUUAGGAUUUAUUGGGUUUUGGGUUUAGGGUCCUAAGGUUUUUGGAUUAAAAGAGUUUAGGGUGAAGAAAUGGGGUUUGGGCCUAAGCCCAAACACAUACACACCACAAACACACAUACACAUACACAUACACAUACACACCACACACACAGACAUACACAUACACAUACACACACAUACACAUACACAUACGCACACGCACACACACUUAAACACACACACACAAACUCACACACUCACACAACACACACACACUAAAUAUACAUACACACACACACGGGUACACACCCACACACCCACACAAUCUAAAACACACACACACAUGGCCCAAAGGCCUCACAACCAAAAGGGUUGGGCUCAGCAGGGAAGGCCCAAAGGGCUUCGUUUUUGGUGGGUCGCCGGAUCCAAUGGGAGAGAAGGCCGGAAAUUCGGCCGGAAAACCAUCCCACUUUAAACGGCCAUAACUUUAACAAUACUCAACGAAAUCAAGCGAGACAAAAACGAAAGUUAUAGCCCUUGAAGAGACGAAGAGAAUGGUACCUCACACGACGUCUAACUCGCCGUGUUUUGGCCGGAAAACGCCUCGAAAGCCGUCGGACUCGCCGGAAACUGGGUAAGAUUCAAAUGAGUAUAACUUUUCCAAUACUCAACGAAAUUGAGUGAAACAAAAAGGAAAGUUGUACUACUCGACGAGACGAAGAGAUUGAUACCUUGCACGCUGGGCAACUCGUCGUGGUUUGGCCAGAAAUGGCCUCGAAAGGGGCGGUGCUCGCCGGAGCUUACUCCGUGUCGUCGAACUCGCAGGGCAGGGUCCGGGGUUCGUUGCGAGCCUCUCUUCGAUGGUGACUCGGUCCUAGUGAGUCCAGGGGAAGAGAGAGAGCCGAGAGACAGACAGAAGAAGGAAGAAAAGAAAACAGAAAAGAAGAAGAAGAAAGAAGGGAGUUCACGGGGGAGGGACAGAGAGAGAAGGAAGAGUGACGGGAAUGGGGGACACAAAAACAGAAGGUGGGCCCCUUGGGCACAUCAAUUAAGAAUAAAAAACUAUUUUUAAAUAAAAUGGGGGUGAGGUGUUACAUUAGGCCUCACCAUCGUCUCCUAAAUCUCAGGUGAAGAUGGCCUGUUGCAGAUUGGUGAAGACGAAAAUGGCUUGUUGCAGAUUGGAGACGAAGAUGGCUUGUUGCAGAUCGGAGAAGACGGUGGGCGCGAGGCUCAAGAUCGGAGAAGACGAUGGGUUCAAAUGAUUUAUAUGAUUGUUUUGCUUUGAAAAAGGUUUUCGGAUUUAGUAGGAGAUACUGGAGGUUUUGGGAUUUGAAUUCAUAUGAUUCAUUUGGUUAAUUUGUAUGCAUGUAAACCUUUUUUAGGCAAGUGGGUGUAGUAGGAGAUACUGGAAAUCCCAAAACAAUCAAAAUACUACUGCUUUGAGAACCAUGAGUCGUUCAAAUUCUUGUUGCAGAUUAUCCUAAUGUUACUGCUUCUGAUUUGAUCAUCUAGGUUAUCGACAAAGGAAGAUGAACGACGAGUUAAAAAAAUUGUAAUCGACCCGUGGACCUGGCCCGAAUCAGCCCGUUUAGGUUCAGUUCCAAAUUCAGAAAUGGCAUUACUCGGCCCGGCCCACCCCGUUGCAUAUAUGAUUAUCAAUCACAGUUCGAAUUCUCCUUGUAAGGUUCACUGCAAAACAAAUACUGAAGAAGCCAACAUACACACACACACACACACACACAUACACAGUGCAAUCAUAUCAUAUUAAAAGAAAAACUAAAACCAACUAGGUUGGCUCUGAUGCCAAAUGUAAACUUUAAUAAAACCUAGGGUUAAUACUUCAAGGUUUUGGCGACAUGCACACGUGGUAUUUUUGACGAACUGGUAUUAGCAAUGGUUCAGGAUUUUGCCUGAAGAAGCCAUUACACAAAUUGAAGCCUCUUACUUUGAUCUUCUACUCAAUGGAAACCUUAUGUUCUUUUCUAGUAAUGGAUCUAGAUUUUAUCUCAGAAAAUGGAACCAACUUUCCUUGAGCAGGGACCAAGUAUAUAUAGACAUCUACACAUCUCAUCAUAACCACCUCCUCCCAUUAAGGAUAGCAGUUUGAUAACUGCAAGCAUUACGCUUGUCUUCCGAUCAUGGGGUGUUUCUCUCCUUCAUCACGUAACCCUUAUGGUCCUACAUUAUAGGAGAUUCAAUUAACCAAGUCAUUAACUCCUAACUGAACUCUAGUGUCUGAUAUGGAUAAUUAACCUUAAUUAUAAUUAGUAAAAUCCAAAUAAGUUCCAACACAAAAACGAUUAGAAGGCAUGGAUUAGAAUAACCAUAGAUUCAUGAAACAAUUCAUUACAAUUGCAAUGAUCGAUCAUAUAGCAGUAACAGCACCCUCUCCACGAGGAGGGAAAAGCAAACCAUCUAACCUAGCACACCCAGUUUCUGAAUUUUUCUAUACCUAGUGUUGCUUUUCUUCCUUGCGUAACCAAUUUAAGUUAUUAGACUUGAACAUUGUUAAUUGGAAUUAGUAAGGGAUAGUAACGAGGCAAAUACUAAUAUAACAAAGAGAAAUACCAAUUCAGGUAACAUCAUAUAUUAACGGUUGGUUCUAUCAUUAUCUUCGAGUCUUCUUGAUGUAUGACCUACUUUCUUUGCAAUGUCCUGAACUCGUUCCUGCAAUUGCAUACUUCAUUAUAUUCAAAUUUACAUAUUUUAUUUACGUUCGUUCUAUCGUUAUAAUUUGUAUGCCUGUUUAAAAUUGCUUCAUCACCCUCAGAUGUUGGUCAGGACAUAUCCAACGUAAUAUAUGGGGAUAUCGGGGUUGGAUGUGUCACAUUAUCCAAGACAAUUCAACAAGACUUGAGUGGAUCCCAGAAUGCUGACUAGAAAUGUCGUUUUCGUCUUCCAAAUACCGAUCGACGAAAAGUAGCACAUGUUGGGUAAAAUUCAAAGAAGCAGGGCAGCUGUCAACACUAUCAUUAAUGUACACGGAAAAACAAGUGCGGUCAAGUCCGAUGGCUUGGGCCUCUUUGGUAGUCCGAUGGCUUGCGGCCAAAAUCCGAUGGUUUUCAGCUAAGGGAGGGUAGGAUUCUUUGGUAGUCCGAUGGCUUGGGCCUCUGAUCGUCUAAUUCUCUAUUGCCCUCGCAGUUGCUGUGAUUGUGCCAAGGGUUUGAUACAUGCAUCUGCCAAGAAAAUGUUACUGAAAGCUUUGCUUGUUGUGUCCCUCCUCUUCCCAUUUUGCACUUCCAUUGACACCAUAGAAAUGGACCAACAUGUAAAGGAUGGUGAUCUUCUGGUGUCCAAAGAAAACAUCUUCGCAUUAGGGUUCUUCGGCCCCAGAAACUCCAGCUCCAGGUACGUCGGAAUUUGGUAUGCAGAAAAAGAUGAAAAAGAUCAAAAGGCAGUGGUUUGGGUAGCAAACAGAAACGACCCCAUCAAUGAUACCUCUGGUGUCCUAACUAUAGACAGGUAUGGGAGACUGCUUCUUUAUUCUAACAAUAUGCAGAACAUUCCUGUGUGGUCUACAAAUGUGACGGUUCAAACUGCGAGCACUAGUUGCAGGGCUCAGCUUUUAGAUUCUGGAAAUUUAGUUAUUUUCCGGGAUAAUAAAAGCAAAAACUUUAUGUGGCAGAGUUUUGAUUAUCCUACAGAUACUCAACUUCCGGGUAUGAAACUAGGCGUGAAUUGGAAUUUGGGGAUAGAAUGGGUCUUAACAUCUUGGAAGUCACAGGAUGACCCUGGAACUGGGGAAUACACCGAAAGGCUCUAUUCCAAUCAGACCGCCACCCCCCCAGUUUUUUACUUUUUAUAAAGGUUUGACUCCGUAUUGGCGAGCUGGUACAGUGGACCCGCGUAAUUUUGUCAGUAAUCAGGACGAAAUGUAUUUCUUUUUUAAAAACGAUAGCACUUCAAUAAGGUCGGUGUUGAAGGAUUCUGGGUCACUGCAAAUCCUCGAGUGGAGCAAUGCGAAUAGAGAAUGGAAGGAACUAUGGUCUGCGCCAAAAUAUCGGUGUGACCUGUAUGGAGAGUGCGGUGCCAACAGCAAAUGUAGCCCUGACAAUUUCAAUUUUUUUGGGUGUGAGUGUCUGCCAGGGUAUGAACCGAAGUCUGUCAAUGAUUGGAAGAUGAGAAAUGGUUCGGACGGGUGUGUGAGUAAACGAGUUGCGGUAUCAAAGUGUAGGAACGGAGAAGGGUUCAUGAAAGUGGCACAAGUUAAAGAUCCAGACACAACGAAAGCAGCACGGCUGGAAAAGGUAUUAGUGUCAAAGAGUGUAAGCAGGUGUGCUUAAGCAAUUGUUCUUGCACUGCAUAUAUGGUCAUAGAAUCUGAAGGGCCCAGUGAUUGCUUGACAUGGUAUGGUGAGUUGCUGGACAUUUUAGUGCAGACACAGGGAGGGCGAGAUCUACAUGUACGUGUGGACAAAAUCGAAUUAGGUACCACUUCUUGCCAUGGAAAAGUUGCAUUAUAAAUUUUUGGAAUUUGUGGAACUUGCUGUACUACUGGUUUUGUUAUUUUUUAAUCCUUUAUCCCACUCUUAUGUGUAGCUGAAAAUUCCAGAAACUCGAAAGGUUUUCUUAGAAGGAGGGGUAUGCUGGCUGUUCUGAUGUUGUCUGUUCUUCUAGCAUUGGUACUGAUGGUUGCGUUGACCUGUUGGAGGAUUAGGAAACAGAGGAAGACAAAAGGUAAGAAGUAGUCAGCGAUUUUGAAUUCUCGAACGGUUUCAUCAAAUAAAAGCACUCCAUUUGUAAUGCUUGUGCAGUUUGUAAAUCACAUCGAAGCACUGCAAUUAGAUAGAAUCCAUAUGCGUGAGCUCGAUGUAAAACUUAUAUUUCUAUAUCGUUUGUCAAUGAAAUAGAACAGUGAGAAGAAAAUGCAGACAGUGAUUUCUUUUAUUGUUAACAGUUGAGAUCGAAGAAACUAGGAGACAUCCCGAAUGGCAAUUUUUCCAUCUGAGAACGAUAAUUGCAGCUACAAACAACUUCUCUCCAGUCCAAAAACUUGGCCAAGGUGGUUUUGGCACUGUUUAUAAGGUUAGUCCCACUUUCGAAGAGUUACAAAUUUCAUUACUAAAGAAUAAUCACAACAUAAUGGCUUGAUAAAAUAAGCGAUGAUUAUGUGGAAGCUUAAUGAUAAAACUGAAUAAAAACUUCAGGGUGUGUUACGAAAUAAUCAGAAUAUUGCUGUAAAAAGAUUAUCCAGAACUUCAGGACAAGGAGUUGAAGAAUUCAAAAAUGAAGUUGCGCUCAUAGCGAGACUUCAACACAGGAAUCUUGUGAAACUUUUAGGCUGUUGCAUAAAGGGAGAAGAAAGGAUGUUAGUCCUGGAAUACUUGCCGAACAAAAGCUUGGACUACUUUCUUUUCGGUAUGUCUAUAGAGGAAAGAUUCCUUUGUUCACGCCAUUUCUCAAACCAUGAAGCAUAUCUUAGUCGAAUAUGUCACAUUUAUCUGCACAAAGCCAAAUCUCUUGAUGCAGAUCACACAAAAAAGUCCUUGCUGGAUUGGCAAAAGCGAUUCGAAAUCAUCAAUGGGGUUGCUCGUGGGGUUUUGUAUCUUCACCAGGAUUCAAGACUUAGGAUUAUUCACAGGGAUCUAAAAACCAGCAAUGUCCUUCUAGACGCUGAGAUGAACCCAAAAAUCUCAGAUUUCGACAUGGCAAGAAUCUUCCAUGGGGACCAACUCCAAGAUACGACCAACAGAGUUGUCGGAACAUAGUAAGAAUCGUUAUAAACUCACCUUCCAUUAGCUCUUUCAUCUCUUACUAUUCUUUGGCUGUAACGUUUUAUUUUCUUUAUAUGCAUAAUACAGUGGCUAUAUGUCACCAGAGUAUGCAGUGUUUGGGAGAUUUUCGACCAAAUCGGACGUUUUUAGUUUUGGGGUCAUAUUAUUGGAGAUUGUAAGCGGCAAGAAAAACAACGGUUUCUAUCAAGCGGAUCAUUUCGUAAACUUAAUAGGACAUGUGAGUAACACAAAUUUUGCAAACAACCAACCCUUUUUAUUUACUCAUCCCAUACAUGUUUAAAAUGAACUGUCUACUACAGGUUUGGCAGUUGUGGAGUGAAGACAGAGCCUUAGAAAUUGUGGAGUCAUCAUUGGAGUCAUACGCGCCCGACGAAGCCAUGAGAUGCAUUCAGGUCGGGCUCUUGUGUGUCGAAGAAGAGUCGAAGAACAGACCAUCCAUGUCAGCUGUUGUUUUUAUGUUGAGCGGUGAAGCAUCUGCUCCAUCUCCUCAGCAGCCUGCAUUUGCCUUGAGAAAAAAUUCAUGCGGCGAUGCUGUUGUUCCGUUAGUUUCUGAAGGAUCGUGUUCUAUCAACGACGUGACAAUAACUAAAUUCGAAGGUCGAUAACUAAAUUCUGAUGUCAUCUGUGAUAAAACAUGGUCUUUCGGGAACUGAAUCAUAUACGUUGAAAUGAGACUUCAGUUAUAUAGGCUAUUUCAUACACUUUCAAAUACCUCUUGGAUGUAUCUAAUAAUACAGAACUCUUUCCAACAGUUAUGUCUCCUAAUCAAAAUGUUUUUAAUAUUAAUUAAAAACUUAAUCCGAAACUAAAAUCAGUUAAUAUGCUAAUUGAAAUUACACCUAUUGGAGACCUUGUGUUCUUGUGUUCCCUGAUGUGGGAUAAUUGAGGCAUAAAACUCCAACAGAUUCCAACAAGAUCCUUUUCGGAUUCUUUUAGUGAGGAUCCUGAUGAUUUGUGAAUUGUGUCUGUUUAUCGUACAUGCAGUUAGUUUUUGUCAAAUAUUGUUUGUGUUUAAUUUUAAAUGAAAAUAUUUAAAAUAAUUUAUAAUCGUACGAUAUACGAUAAACGGACAAAAUUGAUGAAUCAUCGGGAUCCUCACAAAAAGUAUCCGGCGAGGAUCCGGAUUCCAACAGAUUAUUCUUUGACGAAACUGAUUUGACUGCCAACAUCCAAAGUCUCCUUGGUUUGAGUCGUGCUUGCUAGGUGCCGGGUAAACCCUUCAAACAAGAUGACCCUGGAACUGGGGAAUACACCCAUAGGCUCUAUUCCACCCAUAGGCUCUAUUCCAAUCAGACUGCCACCCCCGAAUUUUUUACUUUUUAUAAAGGUUUGACUCCGCAUUGGCGAUCUGAGCCAGUGGACACGGGGCGAUCUGAUCCAGUGGACAUGGUUACUUUUGUCAGUAAUCAGGACGAAAUGUAUUACUUUCUUAAAAACGAUAGCACUUCAACAAGAAUUGUGUUGAAGGAUUCUGGGUUACUGCAACACCUCGGGUGGAACAAUGCGGAUAGAGAAUGGAAGGAAAUAUGGUCUGCGCCAAAAUAUCAGUGUGACCUGUAUGGAGAGUGCGGUGCCAACAGCAAAUGUAGCCCUGACAAUAUCCAUUUGUUUGGGUGUGAGUGUUUGCCAGGG